GCACAAGCGGUGGAGCAUGUGGUUUAAUUCGACGCAACGCGAAGAACCUUACCAGGGCUUGACAUCCCCUGACCGCGUAUGAAAGUACGUUUCACCCUCGGGUGACAGGGAGACAGGUGGUGCAUGGUUGUCGUCAGCUCGUGUCGUGAGAUGUCGGGUUAAGUCCCGCAACGAGCGCAACCCUCGACCUUAGUUGCCAGCAUUCAGUUGGGCACUCUAAGGUGACUGCCGGCUAAAAGUCGGAGGAAGGUGGGGAUGACGUCAAAUCAUCAUGCCCCUUAUGACCUGGGCUACACACGUGCUACAAUGGGCGGUACAAAGGGUCGCGAACCCGCGAGGGGGAGCCAAUCCCAAAAAGCCGCUCUCAGUUCGGAUUGCAGGCUGCAACUCGCCUGCAUGAAGCCGGAAUCGCUAGUAAUCGCGGAUCAGCAUGCCGCGGUGAAUACGUUCCCGGGCCUU
rnacentral:rRNA from 1 species